rnacentral:rRNA from 1 species
UACGAGGGGGGCAAGCGUUGUUCGGAAUUAUUGGGCGUAAAGGGCGCGUAGGCGGUUUGGCAAGUUUGGUGUGAAAUCUUCGGGCUCAACUCGAAGUCUGCACCGAAAACUGCCGGGCUUGAGUAUGGGAGAGGUGAGUGGAAUUUCCGGUGUAGCGGUGAAAUGCGUAGAUAUCAGGAAGAACACCCGUGGCGAAAGCGGCUCUCUGGAACGGUACUGACGCUGAGGCGCGAAAGCGUGGGGAGCAAACGGG